AACGAACGCUGGCGGCAGGCUUAACACAUGCAAGUCGAACGCAUCCUUCGGGGUGAGUGGCAGACGGGUGAGUAACGCGUGGGAACGUGCCCUUCAGUUCGGGAUAACCCAGGGAACCUUGGGCUAAUACCGGAUACGUGCGAGAGCAGAAAGAUUUAUCGCUGAAGGAUCGGCCCGCGUCUGAUUAGCUAGUUGGUGGGGUAAUGGCCCACCAAGGCGACGAUCAGUAGCUGGUCUGAGAGGAUGAACAGCCACAUUGGGACUGAGACACGGCCCAAACUCCUACGGGAGGCAGCAGUGGGGAAUAUUGGACAAUGGGCGCAAGCCUGAUCCAGCCAUGCCGCGUGAGUGAUGAAGGCCUUAGGGUUGUAAAGCUCUUUCGUCCGGGACGAUAAUGACGGUACCGGAAGAAGAAGCCCCGGCUAACUUCGUGCCAGCAGCCGCCGUAACAC
rnacentral:rRNA from 1 species